rnacentral:rRNA from 1 species
GUACGGAGGAUGCAAGCGUUAUCCGGAUUUAUUGGGUUUAAAGGGUGCGUAGGCGGAUGAUUAAGCGUGAGGUGAAAUGCCACUGCUCAACAGUGGAACUGCCUCGCGAACUGGUUGUCUUGAAUGCUCCUGCCGUGGGAGGAAUGUGUGGUGUCGCGGUGAAAUGCAUAGAGAUCACACAGAACAACGAUUGCGAAGGCAUCUCACGAAGGGGUGAUUGACGCUGAGGCACGAAAGCGUGGGGAUCAAACAGGAUUAGAUACCCUGGUAGUCCACGCAGUAAACGAUGAUAACUAACCGCUGGGUCGUAGUGAUUCAGUGGCCAAGCGAAAGCGAUAAGUUAUCCACCUGGGGAGUACGACCGCAAGGUUGAAACUCAAAUGAAUUGACGGGG